rnacentral:tRNA from 1 species
CAAUUUAUGUUAGAAUAUCUUAAAUAAAACCUGCCGGAAUAGCUCAGUUGGUAGAGCAGAGGACUGAAAAUCCUCG